CGGUAAUACGUAGGUGGCGAGCGUUAUUCGGAAUUAUUGGGCCUAGAGGGUUCGUAGGGGGUAAUGUAAGUCCGGUGUGAAAUCUCGAGGCUCAACCUCGAAACUGCAUUGGAAACUGCGUUACUUGAGUGUCAGAGAGGAAAGCGGAAUUCCUGGUGUAGCGGUGGAAUGCGUAGAUAUCAGGAAGAACACCGACGGCGAAGGCAGCUUUCUGGCUGACAACUGACCCUGAUGAACGAAAGCUAGGGUAGCGAACAGGAUUAGAUACCCUGGUAGUCCUAGCUGUAAACGUUGUGCACUGGAUGUGGGCGGAUUUGGUCCCGUCUGUGUCUGAGCGAAGGCGUUAAGUGCACCGCCUGGGGACUACGGCCGCAAGGCUAAAACUCAAAGGAAUUGACGGGGGCCCGCACAAGCGGUGGAGCAUGUGGCUCAAUUCGAGGCAACGCGAAGAACCUUACCUGGGUUUGACAUAUACCUGACCGCCGGUGAGAGCCGGUUUCUCUUUGAGCAGGUAUACAGGUGCUGCAUGGCUGUCGACAGCUCGUGCUGUGAAGUGUUCGGUUAAGUCCGGCAACGAGCGCAACCCACGCUGUUAGUUACCAUCAGGUGAAGCUGGGGACUCUAACAGGACUGCCCGUGCUAAGCGGGAGGAAGGCGUGGACGACGUCAAGUCCGCAUGGCCCUUACGCCCAGGGCUGCACACGUGCUACAAUGGCCGGUACAGAGGGUCGCCACUCUGCGAAGAGGAGCUAAUCCCGAAAACCGGCCCCAGUUCGGAUUGGAGUCUGCAAUUCGACUCCAUGAAGUAGGAAUCGCUAGAAA
rnacentral:rRNA from 1 species